rnacentral:sRNA from 1 species
UACGUUCCGAUAAUUUUCCCACCUCGUC